UCUGGCUCACGCCGACUUGAACUCAGUUCAUGUGCUUUUUUAAAAGUCGAACAGACUUCCUAAUUUACAUUCUACCUCAAAAAGGAAAAGCAAACCAACAUCGAGGUCGCAAAAAAAAUUAUUAAUAAGAACUAACCAAAAUGAUCACGCUGUUAUCCCUUAAGUAUUUAAACAAAAAGCAAAACAAAGAUCUAAAAACAAAGAAAAAUACAUUAAUAUACAAAAUUGCCCCAAUCAAAAAAACUUAAAAAAACAUUCUAAUUAAAAAAUUUAGCAAAAAUUUUAAAUAAAUAAAAAUUUAAGGGUCUUUUAGUCUUUUAAAAACCAAUCAAAACUUUUUAUAAAUAAAACAAAUUCAAAAUAAAUAUAAAUCAAAAAGAAGAUUUAAAAUCCCAUUCAUACAAGUUUUCAAUAAAAAAACAAAUGAUUACGCUACCUU
rnacentral:rRNA from 1 species